GAUGAACGCUGGCGGCGUGCCUAAUACAUGCAAGUCGAGCGAACGGACGAGAAGCUUGCUUUUCUGAUGUUAGCGGCGGACGGGUGAGUAACACGUGGAUAACCUACCUAUAAGACUGGGAUAACUUCGGGAAACCGGAGCUAAUACCGGAUAAUAUUUUGAACCGCAUGGUUCAAAAGUGAAAGACGGUCUUGCUGUCACUUAUAGAUGGAUCCGCGCUGCAUUAGCUAGUUGGUAAGGUAACGGCUUACCAAGGCAACGAUGCAUAGCCGACCUGAGAGGGUGAUCGGCCACACUGGAACUGAGACACGGUCCAGACUCCUACGGGAGGCAGCAGUAGGGAAUCUUCCGCAAUGGGCGAAAGCCUGACGGAGCAACGCCGCGUGAGUGAUGAAGGUCUUCGGAUCGUAAAACUCUGUUAUUAGGGAAGAACAUAUGUGUAAGUACCUGUGCACAUCUUGACGGUACCUAAUCAGAAAGCCACGGCUAACUACGUG
rnacentral:rRNA from 1 species